GUAGGUGGCAAGCGUUGUCCGGAAUUAUUGGGCGUAAAGCGCGCGCAGGCGGUCCUUUAAGUCUGAUGUGAAAGCCCACGGGCUCAACCGUGGAGGGUCAUUGGAAACUGGGGGACUUGAGUACAGAAGAGGAAAGCGGAAUUCCAAGUGUAGCGAUGAAAUGCGUAGAGAUUUGGAGGAACACCAGUGGCGAAGGCGGCUUUCUGGUCUGUAACUGACGCUGAGGCGCGAAAGCGUGGGGAGCAAACAGGAUUAGAUACCCUGGUAGUCCACGCCGUAAACGAUGAGUGCUAAGUGUUAGGGGGUUUCCGCCCCUUAGUGCUGCAGCUAACGCAUUAAGCACUCCGCCUGGGGAGUACGGCCGCAAAGGCUG
rnacentral:rRNA from 1 species